ensembl:snRNA U6 U6 spliceosomal RNA
AAGAUGUAGUGAUAGCUUUGGCAGCAAAAUUGGAACAAUACAGAAAUUAGCAUGGCCCCUGUGCAAAAAUGACACACAAAUGCAUAAAGUGCUCUGUAUUUUA